rnacentral:rRNA from 1 species
AGAGUUUGAUCCUGGCUCAGGACGAACGCUGGCGGUGUGCUUCACACAUGCAAGUCGAACGGAGUAGCAAUACUCAGUGGCGGACGGGUGAGUAACACGUGGGAAUCUACCAUUAGGUGGGGAAUAACAGGCCGAAAGGACUGCUAAUGCCGCAUAUGUAGGCAUCUCGACAGAGAUGUUUAUGAAAGGAGUAAUCCGCCUUUUGAUGAGCCCGCGUCCGAUUAGCUAGUUGGUAGGGUAAAAGCCUACCAAGGCGACGAUCGGUAGGUGGUCUGAGAGGAUGAUCACCCACAAUGGGACUGUGACACGGCCCAUACUCCUACGGGAGGCAGCAGUGGGGAAUUUUACGCAAUGGGGGAAACCCUGACGUAGCGACACCGCGUGAGCGAAGAAGCCCUUUGGGGUGUAAAGCUCUGUCAACAGGAACGAAACAAAUGACGGUACCUGUGGAGGAAGCAUCGGCUAACUACGUGCCAGCAGCCGCGGUAAGACGUAGGAUGCAAGCGUUGUCCGGAUUUAUUGGGCGUAAAGAGUUCGUAGGCGGUUUGUUAAGUCUGAUGUUAAAGACCGGGGCUCAACCUCGGAAAUGCAUUGGAUACUGGCAGACUGGAGUGCAGUAGAGGCUAGUGGAAUUCCCAGUGUAGCGGUGAAAUGCGUAGA